rnacentral:rRNA from 1 species
UACGUAGGGGGCAAGCGUUGUCCGGAUUUAUUGGGCGUAAAGAGCGUGUAGGCGGUUCGGUAGGUCCGUUGUGAAAACUCGAGCUCAACCUCGAGACGCCGAUGGAAACCCCCGAACCUAGAGUCCGGAAGAGGAGAAUGGAAUUCCUGGUGUAGCGGUGAAAUGCGCAGAUAUCAGGAGGAACACCGAUGGCGAAGGCAGGUCUCUGGGCCACUACUGACGCUGAGAAGCGGAAAGCCAUGGGGAGCGAACAGG